rnacentral:rRNA from 1 species
GCAAUGGACGCAAGUCUGACGGAGCAACGCCGCGUGAGUGAUGAAGGUCUUCGGAUCGUAAAACUCUGUUUAUCAGGGAAGAACCCGCAUCGGAGUAACUGCCGGUGCGUUGACGGUACCUGACCAGAAAGCCACGGCUAACUACGUGCCAGCAGCCGCGGUAAUACGUAGGGUGGCAAGCGUUGUCCGGAAUUAUUGGGCGUAAAGCGCGCGCAGGCGGCUUCUUAAGUCUGAUGUGAAAGCCCACGGCUCAACCGUGGAGGGUCAUUGGAAACUGGGAGCGCUUGAGUGCAGAAGAGGAGAGCGGAAUUCCACGUGUAGCGGUGAAAUGCGUAGAGAUGUGGAGGAACACG